CUUUUGGAAUCUGAGGCUGUUGGCAAGCCAUUGUGUUGCUUCUGCCACAAGCCGGCUGUUAUAAGGUGCAGAGAGUGCCUUCCGGAGCAGUGGUUUUGUGGGGCCUGCGACAUGCAUAACCACAGCAAACGGCCACUCCACAACAGGGACAGCAUGGUGGAUGGCUUCUUUAAAGCCAUUCCCCCAUCCACAUGUAUCUCAAGAGGAGAGACUGGAAUAUAUGCCACACAUGAGCAAGAUCGCAUUUUACCCACAAUGCCAGCACAGCACUGCACCUGCCAGGUCCCUAGCUUCACAGUGGAAGCUGGGAAACCAGUCAUCUUGAUUACCAUCAAUGGGCGUUAUGAUUUGCAUUUGCCACGUUAUGUGUGCCAAACAUGCCUGCAGCAGUGGGCCCCUGAUGUGAGAGACCUAGUCAGGAGUGGAUAUUGGCCAGCUUCUGCAAAUGCUUCCACAAUCUACACGGUGGACCUCCUCAACACCUUUCAGGAGCUGAAGUUGAUCUCACCUGGAUUCUCCAGGCAAGCCCUUGCAAAAAUGCUGGAACAUCGCACACUGUGUGCAGGAAGAGUAAGUGACAUC